rnacentral:ncRNA from 1 species
UUGUGAAAUGCAAAAUAGACGAAAGUCUGUGACGCAAAACUACAGGGCCUAAUUCCGUAUGGAAAUGGCAGCCAGUUGCCGCU